rnacentral:rRNA from 1 species
CUCAUCGAUCACGUCGUCGGCGCCACCACCACGUACGCCCUCUGGACCAAGAUCCAGGCCUUCUUCCUCGCCAAUCGGGCUGCACGCUUCAUGGUGCUCAAUCGCUAGUACCGCAAUCUGAGACAAGGCGAUCUCUCCGUCACCGAGUACGCCCGUCGCCUGAAGCUCCUCACCGACGGCCUCGCCGACAUCGAUCACGCCGUCAAGGAGGUGGAUCUUACCACCCAAUUCCUCCACGGCCUCGACAAGCGCCUCGACACCAUCCACGUCGUCCUCGGCGAUCAGGCCUCCACCAUGCCGCUCCCUCUGCAUCGACCUGGAUGGGUGCCGCCCAACUCCGCCGGGGUUCUCGGCCCCCGCCCCGGCUCCCAUGCCCAUGCCUACCCGAUGUACCACUCGGCGCCUCCACCGUCCUCCUCGUACUACCCUCCACCGCCACCAUCAUGGGAGCACCUCGCCAUGUUGAAUGCCGCCUACAGCAACGACGGCCUGCCCCAACCUCCCUCGACGGACUAG